UCCGGACUUGUGGAUUGGACUUCCCAGCUUGACCUUGGACUUGCCUUGUCACCUCUCAUUUGUCUGUAUUAUCCUGCUAGAAAAUACUGAUUUAGAGGAAAAGAAUGCCUGUCUAAGAAAAAGAAAUUUUGACCAGCUCUGCUUUGGGCUCAACCCAGAUUCUGUGUGAAGCAGUUGUUGCAGUAGAAGAGCAGGUGUUUGUAGCGACAGAUGCAUAGAAGUACUACGUGCAAGAGCUAGAAGAAAUGACAAAGCAGAACUCGGAUGUUAGAGAUUUUUCUGAAAACGAAGUUGAGAACUACUCUCAUGGUGCUGGCUGCAGGUCAUUGCGUUAAGGAUUGAAAUGAACUUUGGAAACCCAUUUAGAAUGUCUGGGCCAGAGAAGGUUUGCUUGAUGCUGUUCCUGUAGUUCUUUUCCUAUCACUUCUCAAGAUGUCAAGGCCACAAACAAGAGGAGGGUUGUAACCCUGGGGAGACACAUGGACUGCUGCCCAGAGUCACACAAGAGAACAGUCUGACACCACAUGGAAAGAGAGAGAGUAACGGAGUAUCUGAAGUUCUAUAGGGAAGAAGGUGUAGAAGAUGAAGGGCAGGUAAUUUCAAACACUGAACCU